GACGAACGCUGGCGGCGUGCUUAACACAUGCAAGUCGAACGAAGAGCGAUGGAAGCUUGCUUCUAUCAAUCUUAGUGGCGAACGGGUGAGUAACGCGUAAUCAACCUGCCCUUCAGAGGGGGACAACAGUUGGAAACGACUGCUAAUACCGCAUACGAUCUGACCUCGGCAUCGAGGAUAGAUGAAAGGUGGCCUCUAUUUAUAAGCUAUCACUGAAGGAGGUGAUUGCGUCUGAUUAGCUAGUUGGAGGGGUAACGGCCCACCAAGGCGAUGAUCAGUAGCCGGUCUGAGAGGAUGAACGGCCACAUUGGGACUGAGACACGGCCCAGACUCCUACGGGAGGCAGCAGUGGGGAAUCUUCCGCAAUGGACGAAAGUCUGACGGAGCAACGCCGCGUGAGUGAUGACGGCCUUCGGGUUGUAAAGCUCGGUUAAUCGGGACGAAAGGCCUUCUUGCGAAUAGUUAGAAGGAUUGACGGUACCGGAAUAGAAAGCCACGGCUAACUACGUG
rnacentral:rRNA from 1 species